CCUCACUCCACCUAGGAACCCCAGAAAAGAACUCAAGGUUCUUCAAUCACAUGUGUUUUUGACCCCAUCUACUUCUCUCUGUGUACUCUAUGCUUUACUGUCACUUUAAUAAAUCUACCGUUUCCUUUUAUAACAAAUUACUGUUUUUCUAUGUCUUGUUCAAUUCUCUGCCCCAAGUAAAAGGAACCUGGGAAUUGCACCACAGAAGAACCCCAGCAUCUCCUCUAGUAACAUAAAUUCAUGUAAUAUCUGGAGGAUAGGAUAGCCAGAAAAUUGAAAAGUUUUGCAAUGAAGUGUAAUUUAACAUAAUUUUUGAAUAAAAUUAUUUUCUGAGAAUUUCAGACAUGAAGACCAUAUCUCAUAAUUUUCUCUUUCCUUUCCUCACUCUAAUCCCUUUUCUGCCCCACUUCCUCCAUUCCUCACAAGUUUAUUAUACUUAUAGCACCACCCACAGUGUCUCCUCUUCCCUUGAUAGGUUAAAAUAAACAACAGAUAGGUCAAAGAAUAACCCAGAGUGGAUUCAGUGUCACUCAGGAGUUCUUCUGGGAAACAAGAUAUUAUGACUGAUUGUGAAGACUUUCAUCAUUAGAUAAAAUGGACUUUUCACUCCAUUACAUUCUCCAUCUCUUUAUGCUUCCUAUCUGUGUACAAGAAUCAGAGUUUUCACAGAAGAUAAAGCAUAGCAAUUAUGAGACCGCUCUCCUAGGAAGAAAUGUGACCAUCUUCUGCAACUUGACAAGUCUGGCAAAUGUUGAACAAGUCACCUGGCAGAAAAUCCAAGGCUCUUUGCAUGAAAAUAUUGGCACUUACAGUCAUAAAUAUGGAGAAAAUAUUCUCCCACCGUAUGUAAACAGGAUGCACUGCAAUAUCCUGGAACCCAACGCCUCCUUCAUAACUAUCCAAGAAGUGACAUUUGAAGAUGAAGCCUGCUACAAGUGUCUGUUUAACACUUUUCCUCAUGGCAGCCAUGGAGAGCAAACCUGUCUUAACAUUCUAACUGUAUCUGAAUUAAUAACUGAACUCCAUCCUGUUCCUGGCUCUGAAGAUCUCCUUAACCUUCACUGUUCAGCUGUGGGAAAGCCUGCUCCUAGAAUCUCCAUUUACCCUUCACAAGACCUAGUGCACUCACAAAAGGAGUUCUUUACUGAGAACCCAAAUAACACAGUGACCAUCACUAAAAUAUACAACAUCUCUUUGAAAACUGUAAGUUCAUUGGGUCUCCAGGUCCUGGUUGUGUCCAUGACUCAUCCCCUAACAUAUAAAGAGAAGAUAGUUCCUCUGCCAAAAAAUCAAGAAGGUACAAUGAAUCAUUCUUCAGAGUGGAAGAAAACUGCAAUUGUAUUCAUUAUUCUGUUUAUUUUAUGUAUCAUCUAUGGGACUGUUCUCUAUAUUAAUUUCAAAAAGAAAAGGUCAGAGAACACACCCGAACCAUCAUCAACACAGAUGCUUAACCCUUUAUCAACACUGGGGCCCACACCAUCGUCAACAGUGACUGAGAACUUAAUGAGUCAACAUCAUCAGACAAAGACAUAAUUUGUAACGCCAUGUGACCAGAGACCCAUGUUUCUCCUGCCAUGCCUUCUUCCCCAUGAACUAGUAUCUGCAUGAAUUCCUUCAGCCCUUCCAGGCCAUUGCUCUUCUCUUCCAAGUUUUACCUUUUGCUCUUCAUGGCCACUGGAUGGAUGCAGCAGCUCUUGUUCCCUCGCCUGGGUUCCAACUCUGACUUCCCUCUAUGCCAAGGACUGUGAUCCGGCGCCCUCUACUGACUUCUGCUGGCACCAGAGAGGCAAAAUAAGAUAAAUAAGUCUGAAAAAAUAAAUCUAAAACGAAAAA